GCGUUUUAUAGCGUUUUCGAAGCGAAUUUCCGAGCGAUUUUCCAAGCGAUUUAGCAGUGAUUGUUAUAGAGAUAUUCAGCAAAAUUCCAUCUGAUUUUUGGCGUUUGGAAAAACCAUCUUCCUUUGACGUCAGCUGAUAUCGUCUUUUUAACCCAACAGCUCUUUUAAGAGCUAAAAAACUUGGGCGCAAUGCUAUUCUGCGCCCCCUGGAGGAAGCCACAGGCGGAAUCCAGAUCCCUCUCCGAGAUUUAUAAGCCUCCUGAUGGUCGGCUGACCAAGGAUGUGCUUCUUGGAGAAGGCGGCACCGGAGAAGUCUACAAGGGACGACACCAUCGAAGAGGCGUGGUAGCGGUGAAGAUCGCCAACAUCAGCCGAGAUGAAGAGUCAGUCAUGAGGGAGCUGAAGUUUCUCCAGCAGUUCGGAGGCCACAAGAACAUCGCCUCUUACUAUGGAGCUUACUACAGGGCUCCACUCACGGAGUGCUCAUCGGAGCACUUGGAAGUAAGAAAUGAUUUACUGUAUCGUGUUCAUUCCUCUCAAUCUCCACUGGAAGUGAUAGAAUACAUGACCUUAAAUAAUUUCUAUAUAUUGCAGAUUGUUCUCGAGUACUGUGGUGGCGGCUCUCUCCACACCCUCAUCAGCAGGACCAAUGGCCAAUCCCUGAAGGAGACCUGGAUUGGCUAUGUCUGCAAGGAGGUUUUAAAGGGGCUGCACCACAUCCACAAGAACCGGGCCGUUCAUAGAGACAUCAAGAGCCUGAACAUCAUGCUCACAGAGACGGCCAAAGUGAAGACCAUCGACUUUGGAAACAGCUGGGACCUGGAUCCACAGACUGGAUUGUGCCACGAAGCAGACGGGACUGCACAUUGGAUGGCACCCGAGGCCAUAAGGCAGAAGGGCCAGCGCCUGGCGUACGACACCAAAUGUGACAUCUGGUCGCUGGGCAUAACCGCCAUCGAAAUGGCUGAGGGAAAACCACCAUACGCAGAUGAAUACCCGGUGGAGCACCUGAUUAGAGAAGCCCAACCACCGAGGCUUCAAUCAAACAACUGGUCACAACAUUUCGUGUCCUUCUUGGAGUCGUGUCUGAAGAAGGAUCCUUCGGAGAGAGGGAGUGCUGAAGAACUCCUGCAGCACCCAUUUGUCACCCAACUGCCGCCUAAGAAGAUCAUCAGGGCUGAGAUUGAAAACCAUCUCCGGACUCUGCAGAACCGGCCGGCCAAGAAAGGACUGUUGGAAAGAGCUCUCUGGACCCUGCGGCUCGCUUAUGACUUCUGCACACGGACAUCGGCAGAACAAGAAGCAGCUCUGCAAAUGGCCCUGGAGGGCUUCUCCUGUUAGUGAUCUUGUGGCCAAUUACAUCAACAGCCCAGAAUGAGAUUCCUAAAUCACAGCAGAGGAAAAAGAAACAUCCACAGGAUCCAGUGGCGUCUGCAGCUCCACCAGCAACAUCUCCUUUCAGGCUACUGCAGUUCAACCAGUGGGGACUUCAAGAUUCCCGCAACUCCACCAGCAGGGACUUUAUAUCCUUCUGUAGCUCCAUAUUCAUAUUCUUUUCUGACUACCACAUCGCCACCAGCGGUGUCUUCAGUUUACACCACUCCCCCAGCAGUCUCACUUUCAAGGGCCACAUCACCACCUCACUUUUCAACUGUAGUUCCAUAGUUCCAACCAUCUUCCUUUUUUUGCAGACUACUACAACUCCAACAUCUUGCCUUAAGCAUCUACUUUUCACACAUAGCCACCAUAGCUCCAACAUUCAU